rnacentral:rRNA from 1 species
GACAGAGGGUGCAAACGUUGCUCGGAAUCACUGGGCGUAAAGGGCGCGUAGGCGGGAUGGCAAGUCGGUCGUGAAAUCUCUCGGCUCAACCGAGAAACGUCGGCCGAUACUGCCGUUCUUGAGGGAUGCAGAGGAGACUGGAAUUCCCGGUGUAGCGGUGAAAUGUGUAGAGAUCGGGAGGAACACCGGUGGCGAAGGCGGGUCUCUGGGCAUUUCCUGACGCUGAGGCGCGAAAGCGUGGGGAGCAAACGGG